GUUGUAUGGUUAAGUGACUAAGCGUACACGGUGGAUGCCUUGGCAGUCAGAGGCGAUGAAAGACGUAGUAACUUGCGAUAAGCCCAGAUUAGGUAGUAACAACCAUUUGAGUCUGGGAUUUCUGAAUGGGGAAACCCACGUGCAUAAGCACGUAUCCUUACCUGAAUACAUAGGGUAAGGAGGCGAACCGGGGGAACUGAAACAUCUAAGUACCCCGAGGAAAAGAAAUCAACCGAGAUUCCGAAAGUAGCGGCGAGCGAAAUUGGACUAGCCCUUAAGCUUUACACGCGUUAGACGAACGGUCUGGAAAGUCCGACGAUACAGGGUGAUAGUCCCGUAGUUGACGACGUGUGUUCAGUGAAAUCGAGUAGGGCGGGACACGUGAUAUCCUGUCUGAAUAUGGGGGGACCAUCCUCCAAGGCUAAAUACUACUGACUGACCGAUAGUGAACCAGUACCGUGAGGGAAAGGCGAAAAGAACCCCUGUGAGGGGAGUGAAAUAGAACCUGAAACCGUGUACGUACAAGCAGUAGGAGCACCUUCGUGGUGUGACUGCGUACCUUUUGUAUAAUGGGUCAGCGACUUAUAUUCAGUGGCAAGGUUAACCAUCUAGGGGAGCCGUAGGGAAACCGAGUCUUAACUGGGCGUUCAGUCUCUGGAUAUAGACCCGAAACCAGGUGAUCUAGCCAUGGGCAGGUUGAAGGUUGAGUAACAUCAACUGGAGGACCGAACCGACUAAUGUUGAAAAAUUAGCGGAUGACUUGUGGCUAGGGGUGAAAGGCCAAUCAAACCUGGAGAUAGCUGGUUCUCCCCGAAAGCUAUUUAGGUAGCGCCUCGGACGAAUACUACUGGGGGUAGAGCACUGUUAAGGCUAGGGGGUCAUCCCGACUUACCAACCCUUUGCAAACUCCGAAUACCAGUAAGUACUAUCCGGGAGACACACGGCGGGUGCUAACGUCCGUCGUGGAGAGGGAAACAACCCAGACCGCCAGCUAAGGUCCCAAAUUACUACUAAGUGGGAAACGAUGUGGGAAGGCUCAGACAGCCAGGAUGUUGGCUUAGAAGCAGCCAUCAUUUAAAGAAAGCGUAAUAGCUCACUGGUCGAGUCGGCCUGCGCGGAAGAUGUAACGGGGCUAAGUAGUAAACCGAAGCUGCGGCAAUAUACUUUUGUAUAUUGGGUAGGGGAGCGUUCUGUAAGCGGUUGAAGGUGUGUGGUAACGCAUGCUGGACGUAUCAGAAGUGCGAAUGCUGACAUGAGUAACGAUAAAGGGGGUGAAAAACCUCCUCGCCGGAAGACCAAGGGUUCCUGUCCAACGUUAAUCGGGGCAGGGUAAGUCGACCCCUAAGGCGAGGCCGAAAGGCGUAGUCGAUGGGAAACGGGUUAAUAUUCCCGUACUUCUUACAAUUGCGAUGGGGGGACGGAGAAGGCUAGGUGGGCCUGGCGACGGUUGUCCAGGUUCAAGUGCGUAGGCUUAAGAGUUAGGUAAAUCCGGCUCUUUUUAAGGCUGAGACACGACGUCGAGCACCUACGGGUGUGAAGUCAUUGAUGCCAUGCUUCCAGGAAAAGCCUCUAAGCUUCAGAUUGUAAGGAAUCGUACCCCAAACCGACACAGGUGGUCGGGUAGAGAAUACCAAGGCGCUUGAGAGAACUCGGG
rnacentral:rRNA from 1 species